CGGCGAACGGGUGAGUAAUGCUUUGGAAUCUUCCCAGUAGUGGGGAAUAACCAGUCGAAAGAUUGGCUAAUACCGCAUACGUCCGAAAGGGGAAAGCGGGGGCUCGUAAGACCUCGCGCUAUUGGAUGAGCCAAAGUCGGAUUAGCUAGUUGGUGGGGUAAUGGCCUACCAAGGCGACAAUCCGUAGCUGGUCUGAGAGGACGACCAGCCACACCGGAACUGAGACACGGUCCGG
rnacentral:rRNA from 1 species